UAUCAGUUUCUGUACUUUAUUG
rnacentral:misc_RNA from 1 species